ACGUUCAAGUACAAAUAAAAAAGAUGAAAACUUGGUAAGAGCAUAUGGUUUGUUUUGUACAAUUCAAGAUUGUAUUGGUGCAUCCAUCACAUGGCCCUAUCCAUUCAUCUCGGUAGUCCAUGAGGAUUGAGGACGCAUGAUGACUCAAGAUUUUAUGCUUCUUAUUUCUUUAAUUGCUUUUAAUUUCUUUGUUAAAUGUUAAGACUUUAUAUUAGAUAAUGUUAUAACUUAUUUAUAGUUAGUGUUUUUGUUAUGGACAUGCUUAUUUUAAAUA